CUUGAGCCAAGUCGUUGGGUUCGCUUGGCUUCGGUCGAGUGGCCAAUCAACCGCCGCCCUACGACUGGGAUAACAACGAAGAAGCCGCCUCCCUUUCUCGUCCUCGCAGCUAUGUCUUUAAAUUACCUGAAAUGCCCCAGCGAUGUCUUCCCCGGCCCGUCGUCUGAGUAGUGCCCAUAGCUGGAGAUCUGUCUCGUGAAAUCUUCGAUCCUGUUGCAGCCCAGUUAUUGGAUGCUCUUCUGGGACGAACAAAGGACAAGUAGGCCAUGGAUCGGAUCGUCGGCGGGAAGUACAAGCUAGGGCGCAAGAUUGGGAGCGGAUCCUUCGGAGAGAUCUUUCUCGCGACGCACGUUGACACGUUUGAGAUCGUCGCGGUUAAGAUCGAGAACAGCAAGACCAAGCAUCCACAGUUGCUUUAUGAGGCCAAGCUGUAUAGCAUUCUUCAGGGAGGAAGUGGUGUCCCAAACACAAAAUGGUGUGGUGUUGACGGGGAGGAAAAUGUUCUUGUUCUCGAUUUGCUUGGUCCAAGCCUUGAAGAUUUGUUUGUCUAUUGUGGUCGGAAAUUCUCAUUAAAGACAGUUCUGAUGCUUGCAGAUCAAAUGAUUACAAGAAUAGAAUAUGUGCACUCAAAAGGUUUUCUGCACAGAGACAUCAAACCUGAUAACUUCCUAAUGGGUCUUGGUCGGAAGGCCAAUCAGGUGUAUAUCAUUGACUUCGGACUUGCAAAACGAUAUAGGGAUUCUAAUACCAAUCGUCAUAUCCCAUACAGAGAAAACAAAAACUUGACUGGAACUGCUCGCUAUGCUAGCUGCAAUACUCAUCUUGGCAUUGAGCAAAGUCGUCGGGAUGAUUUGGAAUCGCUUGGUUAUGUUCUCCUCUAUUUUCUCAGAGGGAGUCUUCCAUGGCAAGGGCUAAAAGCUGCCACAAAGAAGCAGAAGUAUGACAAGAUAUGCGAGAAGAAGCUUUCAACUCCCAUUGAAGUUUUAUGCAAAUCCCACCCUGUGGAAUUUGCUUCAUAUUUCCACUAUUGCCAUUCUUUGACCUUUGAACAACGGCCUGACUAUGGAUUCCUGAAGCGUCUUUUUCGUGACUUGUUCACUCGUGAAGGUUAUGAAUUUGAUUUUAUUUUUGAUUGGACAAUUCUGAAAUAUCAGCAAGCCCAAAGGACAAGAUGUCAACCACGAUCCUCUCCGGUCUCUGGUGGAAUGACUAGUCGAGCAAUUCCAAUGGAUGUCGACAAACAAGCUACCAGUUCAAGCAACAUUCCUCACGCUGACGGAGUCACAGAACGCAUGGUACCAAGUAGUGCUGCUCGCCCAGCAGUUCAAAUGCAACUUAAACACAUAACUGAGAGGAACAUAAGUUCUGAUGUUGAUCGUCUUGAUAAGUUGAGGGCUGGAACAAGUUCUGGAAGACCACAUGUACCGUCCACAUCAUUUGCUUUUCCUGGCUCCACAAAGAAACAUGCCUUGAAUUCCAGACAAUCAGGGCCAACUGAUGUUUCACAUGUUGGGUCAUCCAGCAGUUGGCUUCCAACACUGCAGCGCAAUGCUUCAGCCAAGUGACUGGUGUAGAUUCAGUGGUCGGGGUCAAACAUUGAGAUAACAUAUGCUGCUAAAGGUUGCUGCACCGUUAUUGCUGAAGUCACAUCGUGGAUAUCAGAAUACAUUGUGUAUUCCUAUUAAGAGAAUGAUGCUGUUAAUAUAGAGGAUUACUUUUGAAGAUUACCGACAUGGAAUCUGCAUCAACUCGGACUUCUUACAGAGAAACGACGAAAACGUUCUGUCCUGAUAGCUUGAAAAAACAGGUAUUCUCUUGGUGGAUGCGAGCCCUGGCUAUUAUAUGAUAUAUAUCUCGCACUAAUUAAUAAUAUAUAUAAGAGUAGUAGUUUUGAUUU